UAUCUAUGCCAUACCACACUGAACGCAUCUGAUCCUUGGAAGGAUCCUGUCUGACCUUGGAAGCUAAGCAGGAUCAAGCCUGGUUAGUACUUGGAUGGGAGACCCCCUUAAAACAGCACUGUAGGCUAAAGAGAA
rnacentral:rRNA from 1 species